CAGGCUUAACACAUGCAAGUCGAGGGGCAUCAGGAAGAAAGCUUGCUUUCUUUGCUGGCGACCGGCGCACGGGUGAGUAACACGUAUCCAACCUGCCCUUUACUCGGGGAUAGCCUUUCGAAAGAAAGAUUAAUACCCGAUGGCAUAAUGAUUCCGCAUGGUUUCAUUAUUAAAGGAUUCCGGUAAAGGAUGGGGAUGCGUUCCAUUAGGUUGUUGGUGAGGUAACGGCUCACCAAGCCUUCGAUGGAUAGGGGUUCUGAGAGGAAGGUCCCCCACAUUGGAACUGAGACACGGUCCAAACUCCUACGGGAGGCAGCAGUGAGGAAUAUUGGUCAAUGGGCGCUAGCCUGAACCAGCCAAGUAGCGUGAAGGAUGAAGGCUCUAUGGGUCGUAAACUUCUUUUAUAUAAGAAUAAAGUGCAGUAUGUAUACUGUUUUGUAUGUAUUAUAUGAAUAAGGAUCGGCUAACUCCGUGCCAGCAGCCGCGGUAAUACGGAGGAUCCGAGCGUUAUCCGGAUUUAUUGGGUUUAAAGGGAGCGUAGGUGGACUGGUAAGUCAGUUGUGAAAGUUUGCGGCUCAACCGUAAAAUUGCAGUUGAUACUGUCAGUCUUGAGUACAGUAGAGGUGGGCGGAAUUCGUGGUGUAGCGGUGAAAUGCUUAGAUAUCACGAAGAACUCCGAUUGCGAAGGCAGCUCACUGGACUGCAACUGACACUGAUGCUCGAAAGUGUGGGUAUCAAACAGGAUUAGAUACCCUGGUAGUCCACACAGUAAACGAUGAAUACUCGCUGUUUGCGAUAUACAGUAAGCGGCCAAGCGAAAGCAUUAAGUAUUCCACCUGGGGAGUACGCCGGCAACGGUGAAACUCAAAGGAAUUGACGGGGGCCCGCACAAGCGGAGGAACAUGUGGUUUAAUUCGAUGAUACGCGAGGAACCUUACCCGGGCUUAAAUUGCAGUGGAAUGAUGUGGAAACAUGUCAGUGAGCAAUCACCGCUGUGAAGGUGCUGCAUGGUUGUCGUCAGCUCGUGCCGUGAGGUGUCGGCUUAAGUGCCAUAACGAGCGCAACCCUUAUCUUUAGUUACUAACAGGUUAUGCUGAGGACUCUAGAGAGACUGCCGUCGUAAGAUGUGAGGAAGGUGGGGAUGACGUCAAAUCAGCACGGCCCUUACGUCCGGGGCUACACACGUGUUACAAUGGGGGGUACAGAAGGCAGCUAGCGGGUGACCGUAUGCUAAUCCCAAAAGCCUCUCUCAGUUCGGAUCGAAGUCUGCAACCCGACUUCGUGAAGCUGGAUUCGCUAGUAAUCGCGCAUCAGCCACGGCGCGGUGAAUACGUUCCCGGGCCUUGUACACACCGCCCGUCAAGCCAUGGGAGCCGGGGGUACCUGAAGUACGUAACCGCAAGGAUCGUCCUAGGGUAAAACUGGUGACUGG
rnacentral:rRNA from 1 species